GCGGAUAUGGCGGAAUGGCAGACGCGCUGGUUUCAGGUACCAGUGAGGGCAACUUCAUGCAGGUUCAAGUCCUGUUAUCCGCA
rnacentral:tRNA from 1 species